UGCAAGCGUCAGGUGCUUGUCACCCAGUGGCUGGAGGAAUGGCUACCAAGGCUUCUGAUAGAAGAGCGAAAGCUUUCCUUUCAGGAACCCAGUAACUCAUGGCCGCUGGCUGCUACAGAACUAGUCAAAGCAAACAGUGAUCUUUGGACAAUGGAGAGGAAUAUACAGAAACAGUGUUCUCCAAGUACCUGGUUUAUUUAAGUAUUGUCAGACAUAAUAAGAAUGCACUUAAAGGAGAGACAGAUGAUUACCUCAGAUUUGCUCAAUAAAGGAUGUGCGUUGUCUGGGUUCUGAUGAGCUUUAGAAGAAGACGGCAAAAUCUUUUUGUCUUCAACCUUAUUAGGAGGGCUCUUAUUGAACUUGGAGACCACCAAUGGAGCUGGACUGGCUGCCUAGGAAACUCCAGGGCUC